AUUGCACGCUGGCGGCAGGCUUAACACAUGCAAGUCGAGCGAGCGGCGGACGGGUGAGUAAUGUCUGGGAAACUGCCUGAUGGAGGGGGAUAACUACUGGAAACGGUAGCUAAUACCGCAUACCAUCAGAUGUGCCCAUAUGGGAUUAGCUAGUAGGUGGGGUAAUGGCUCACCUAGGCGACGAUCCCUAGCUGGUCUGAGAGGAUGACCAGCCACACUGGAACGUAGACACGGUCCAGACUCCUACGGGAGGCAGCAGUGGGGAAUAUUGCACAAUGGGCGCAAGCCGGAGGCAGCAAUGCCGCGUGUAUGAAGAAGGCCUUCGGGUUGUAAAGCACUUUCAGCGAGGAGGCGUUACUCGCAGAAGAAGCACCGGCUAACUUCGUGCCAGCAGCCGCGGUAAUUC
rnacentral:rRNA from 1 species